rnacentral:lncRNA from 1 species
GCCUCGUCGCUUUUUUGCGCUUAACACAUUCCAAAACACUGCCCUAGCAUGCCAUAAAGAUUAAAUGGAAAAACAUGGGCGAAGAAGAAGAGGAGGAAAACUCACAAGAAACAACGAUCCAAACGGGAAAAUUUACAAAAUUGCAUAGAUAAAAUCAACAAAGCUUUUCUGCUAAUGGUGAUACUGAAUUUGCAAUAAACUGGCUAUUAACUUUUUGAUACAAACAACCUGUAUCUACCAAGUAUCUCAAACAGCUAUCUGCCUAGUACCGAUAAGAACAAGAAAGAGUAAGCAGAGAGCAACGAAAGAAGAGCCUAUAGAGUGCCCGACUGGAUCUUUGUUUUCGUGUAAGCUUUCUUUUUCUCAUAGUGUAUUUCUUUUUUUCAUCAUUUAUGACAUGCUAAGGCUUUGUUCUUUAUGUGUUUCAGUAAAUUCUUGAAUGAAUCAGUUGGCUUGAGGUUUGGCAUAGUCCUAGGAAUUACUCUAACGUUGCUACAGAGGUAUUUUUUUACCAAUUACAUGCAUGCUUAUUGUUCAUUUAAUAGCGAUUCUCGUUGAAACAAACUUUUUGCACAUUUACACGCAGUUGCUGCCCGAUUGAUGGUAUCAAUGAUCU